rnacentral:rRNA from 1 species
GAAAAGUAGGGUGUAGGUAGGUAGGUGGGUGGGUCGGUGCGCAACACAGGGUGGGUGGGUCGGUGCGCACCUCUCUCUCUCUCGCUCUCAGAGGAGGAGGGGAAGGUCUAGCGGCGGCGGUGGAGAGGGAGCGCGGCGGUGGUCGUGGUGAGGAAGGCUCGCGCACGGCGGGUAGCAGGAGGAUAGGAGGAUAGAGCGGCGGGUAAGUAGGCUCGGGCUGCUGCGGUCUAGGCGCGCGUCGGGUAGCAAGACGUGGAGGGCGUCGUCUAGGUCCCGUGACGGCUUAGAGUGACAGCUGUCUACGUGGCGGCGGGACGUCGGAGCCGCAGCGCCAGCCGACCGAGCGGUGGCGCGCGCACGAAGUAACGCGCGGCGAGGCAGCUCGACCUAGGAGCCUUCCGGCGGCAGGUGGAGCGCGACAUCCCUCCCCAGGUAGCAGAGGAGCCUCCUCCCCUGCCGGUACAAACAACAUGAGGUGGGAUCGUCAGCUAGGGCCAGCAAACGACGAAGUGGUCGGAGGAGGAGAUCGUAGAGGCGUUCCCGUGGGCUGCUGUCCGUCCAGCAGCUGCGCGACCUGGAGUUCCGGCCAACACGACGAGGAAGACGGAUGCAGAAAGGAGCUGUUGCAGGGGCUGGACGUAGGUCGACGAGGAAGGGGUCGGGAGGAGUUGAAGCGAGGCCCACUCGAAGACAUCUUCUUUUUCCUCUUGCCCGUUGUACCUCUUUCUACGCCACGACCACACGUACCAGGACCCGAAAGACCCGAGGCAGCGCCAGUGGGAGCCGAAGCAGCGGUUGUUGAUGUCGAGGUUCAUGUUGCCCUGCUUGACGCACAUGGCCUCGGGCGGCCGCUGCCUAGAGCCGUAGGACCCCCACAAGGACCACAAGUAGUUGGUCCAGUAGGAGCGGCGGAUACGGUCGCCGACCACGGAGACGUACACAACGACGACGGGGACGACCUGGUUCGCGGCGGCCGACCACGGUUGUGGCAGGUUCACCUUGGGUCAUAUCUCAAGCCUGCGACUAAAUUGAUCAAUUUUGGACAGGUAAUAAUUGAUUGGGUACAAAGAACUACCACAAAUAGAGGUACCCUAUAUUUUACACAGUUACAAUUAUAACGUGAUCAGGAACAACGAGACAACCGCAAUCAAUGGAAGAACAGUGUAAGAGGGAGGUAGGCUGUUAUAUUCUGCAAACACGUUCGAUUGUAAUGAACGUUUUUACUGAAUGUAAUACCCUGCCUCCCUCAUUAUCUUCCACUUAAGAAUAUGUGAAAAUUCAGGACAAUUAUUCAUAAGUCCCCCCGUAUAAGCAAAGUACUUAGUAGAUAUUUAUAGUAAGUGCACCAUGACCCAGUCAAAGAUCGAUGGUAAAGAUAUGUGUAAUAGACACACAACCGCGAUCAUCAAAGUACUGAACGAUAAGAAUAAGUUCACCCGCUUGAUUCAGUAAAAAUAAGUCAAACACAAGACGAUACGGUUUCGGUCUUUAUACUGGUUGUGAUGUGAAAAGUGGUGAGGUGAGGGAGGGUACGUUUUAGUAGAAGAGUCGAGAGUGGGCAGCUGCCCCUUAAAAGGUUAGCUGUGAAGUAAAGCAAUGAUCAUGCAUAAUGUGUGUGUACGAGGUGUCGUUUAGGUUGACGUAAGAGAACAGUUAAAUCCUGACCAUUCAUCCACGGCGACUCAAACUCACUCACCAUUUGUCAUAUCUCGAGCCUGCGAUUAGUUCAACUAAAUUGAUCAUCUACAGAUCUAAUUUGGACAGGUAAUAAUUGGGGACGAGGAACUACUACAGCUACAGGUGUAGGUGUUAUACAUUUGCACAGUUACAAUUAUAAAGUGACUAGGAAUGAUAAAACAACCGGAAUCAAUUGAAAAACAGUAUAUUAUUUUUACACUAGAGCAAUAUGUUAAAACCCAACACAGUUAAUUAUCAAACCUUUCGGAUGUUCGGGAGAAUAUCAAUUGAUUUUCCAACAACUUGUAAAAAUUGUUGACUGACAACCUGUAAGGGUACGACAUGCAGUGACUAAUACAUGUUGAACCAUGUUUUAACCAGACUAUAAUCAGAAUAUAGUGUUUUCAUCCCUCCAAGGACGACGAAUAAUCAUAGCCGAAACCUAAUAAUGUCACAAACCAAGUGGUGACAUGACUAAUAGAACCACUCGUAGACAAAUUAUUGACCUUAUGUAACAGACGACCCUUAAGAUAAAUGGAAACGCAUGAUGAGGGAGGCAGGCCUUUAUGAACAGUAGUUUUACUUAUUUUCCUCUACAUAGAUCUACAUAAAAUCAAAAUAUAUGUAGGGAAAAGCAGGUAAAACUCCUGUUCAUAAAAGCCUGCCUCCCUCAUAAUGUUUACAGACACUCCCAGGAAACACGAUGAUCAUAUUAAAGUAAGUACUUAAGACGUGUAUCUAAAAAGUAGGACGAUAUUUUAACGAACACGUACUUAGACAAACGACAACAAUCAGUCUUCAGCUAAUAAUGACCACACAAGUCCUAAGAUAAAGACAGUAGAUUUUAUACACAAUUAAGACUAUGUCGUAUUUCUCGAUACACUCGGGAGGACCUACCCCGAAUACAACCUGGAGACUAACUCGAGGGGUAUCUGAAACUGGGUUCGUAGGAGCACUGUCCCAAACAGCCUUGGCGGUAGCGAAAUCCCACGAAGAGGCCGCGGCGGUAGUAGUGGUUCGCGUCGAGUUCUUGCGUCCACUGUUCUUCUCCUUCUCCUCCAGGACUUGCAAAGAGGACGUGUAGCAUCUACGGUGGUGGCACCGGAACAUCCUUAAUUCGACCGCAACACGGUGGGAACACAUAGACAAAAACUAACAUACAUCUUCAACCUGCACGUAUGCACAUAAACGAGAACACUCAUAAACUGACCUACAAGAGACCUAAAUUAGUCAAUUAACUGUCUAAAUAACUAUAAAACAACAAGUUUACACA